ACUCCUACGGGAGGCAGCAGUGGGGAAUAUUGGACAAUGGGGGAAACCCUGAUCCAGCGACGCCGCGUGAGUGAAGAAGUAUUUCGGUAUGUAAAGCUCUAUCAGCAGGGAAGAAAAUGACGGUACCUGACUAAGAAGCCCCGGCUAACUACGUGCCAGCAGCCGCGGUAAU
rnacentral:rRNA from 1 species